AUACUUACCCGGCAGGGGAGACGCCGUGAUCAUGAAGGUGGUUUUCCCAGGGCGAGGCUCCCCCAGUGCACUCUGGGUGUGCUGAGUCCUGUGAUUUCACCAAAUGUGGGAAACUCGGCAACAUAAUUUGUGGUGGUGCGGGACUGUGUCCGCACACUCCCCUG
ensembl:snRNA U1 U1 spliceosomal RNA